rnacentral:rRNA from 1 species
AGAACGAACGCCGGCGGCAUGCCUAAUACAUGCAAGUCGAACGAAGGCUUCGGCCUUAGUGGCGCACGGGUGCGUAACGCGUGGGAAUCUGCCCCUUGGUUCGGAAUAACAGUUGGAAACGACUGCUAAUACCGGAUGAUGACGAAAGUCCAAAGAUUUAUCGCCAAGGGAUGAGCCCGCGUAGGAUUAGCUAGUUGGUGAGGUAAAGGCUCACCAAGGCGACGAUCCUUAGCUGGUCUGAGAGGAUGAUCAGCCACACUGGGACUGAGACACGGCCCAGACUCCUACGGGAGGCAGCAGUAGGGAAUAUUGGACAAUGGGCGAAAGCCUGAUCCAGCAAUGCCGCGUGAGUGAUGAAGGCCUUAGGUUGUAAAGCUCUUUACCCGAGAUGAUAAUGACAGUAUCGGAGAAUAAGCCCGGCUAACUCCGCGCCAGCAGCCGC